GACGAACGCUGGCGGCGUGCUUAACACAUGCAAGUCGAACGGAAAGGCCCUGCUUUUGUGGGGUGCUCGAGUGGCGAACGGGUGAGUAACACGUGAGUAACCUGCCCUUGACUUUGGGAUAACUUCAGGAAACUGGGGCUAAUACCGGAUAGGAGCUCCUGCUGCAUGGUGGGGGUUGGAAAGUUUCGGCGGUUGGGGAUGGACUCGCGGCUUAUCAGCUUGUUGGUGGGGUAGUGGCUUACCAAGGCUUUGACGGGUAGCCGGCCUGAGAGGGUGACCGGCGACAAUGGGACUGAGAUACGGACCAGAGUCCAACGGGAGGCAGCAGUGGGGAAUAUUGCACAAUGGGCGGAAGUCUGAUGCAGCAACGCCGCGUGCGGGAUGACGGCCUUCGGGUUGUAAACCGCUUUCGCCUGUGACGAAGCGUGAGUGACGGUAAUGGGUAAAGAAGCACCGGCUAACUACGUG
rnacentral:rRNA from 1 species